CUUCAUAGUCCCUGAGAAGGACAUCUGGACAUCCUUCUGAGAAGACAUCAAAACCCACCAAUGGUUUGAGGUUUGGGAAGAUCAGUUCUCAGCAUGGUCAGAGGGACAGCUAUCAAAUGAGGGAGAAUCCAGAAAUUAUUCAGCCAAACAGAAGAGCACAUGACCUAUUGCAUCAUCAGCAGCUGUUUGCAGUAUACACUAUAGUCAAAGAAACAUUUGCACUAUGACAGAAGGAAAAUGAAAGGAAAGAACAACCAUGAAUACAUGAACAAGAAGAAAUGGAUCCACUGAAGAAAUAGAUGUUAUGAAGAAAGUAUA